rnacentral:rRNA from 1 species
UACGGAGGGUGCGAGCGUUAAUCGGAAUUACUGGGCGUAAAGCGCACGUAGGCGGUCAGGCAAGUCGGGUGUGAAAGCCCUGGGCUCAACCUGGGAAUUGCAUUCGAAACUAUCUGACUCGAGUAUGGGAGAGGGAAGCGGAAUUCCCGGUGUAGUGGUGGAAUGCGUAGAUAUCGGGAGGAACACCAGUGGCGAAGGCGGUUGCCUGGAGCUUUGCUGACGCUGAUGCGCGAAAGCGUGGGGAGCGAUCCGG